GCUUAUCCAGGAUUUUCUUCUGGGAACCUCCCUCUAUUAGUUAGAGUACAGAGUAUGCUGUAAUAAUAAAGAGACCCCAAAAUAUAGUGAUUGAAUUAAGAUGGAAGCUUAUUUCUCAUCUAACAGUCCAGAGGUAGGAGUGGUGGAGGCUAUAGGGUGGAUCAGCUUCAUUAAUUCAUCCAUGGACUCUGCUGUUUUGGUUUUAUUUUGGUUUGGUUUGGUUGUUUUUUUUUUUUUGUUUUGUUUUGUUUUGUUUUGUUUUCCAAUCCUGCCCCUUCUGCAUUCACUGGUUUCUUUCCUCGACCCUAGGUAUUUUUCCUAAUUUGCAUGGUUAAAGGUGGGGCACUGCAGUGGAUCUGCACUGGCGCCACCUAGCGCUGGAAAGGCCAAGAGGGCCAAAGUAGAGGGCAACCGAUUUCUUUUUAAGCAAGUGAUGCAGAGGACACAUACAACUUUCAUUCAUAUUCCAUUAGUGAGAACUUGACCACACUUGGUUGUAAGGAAAUUCAGGCAAUGUGGUCUCUAGCUGGGAUUCAUGUGCCCAAGUAGCAAUGUAUUAGCACUGUAAAAGGGGAGAACCGACUUUGGGGGACAACUAACAUUUCAUGAUCUGCCCAUUUUCUUCUGACCAACUUCCUCGAGAUAAUUUUCUUUCUUCUGAAUUUCCUAAAGAGAGGUUCGUUUACUUCAGUUUACAGACAGUCCUUGUUUGCUUCAAUGUACCUUAACCGAUGCCUCAUUCUUCAGGCCCUAAUUUAAAUGAUACCUCCUAAAAGAGGCUUACCUGACUACAUUCUCAAAAGCAGGUGCCCCACCUGCUUCCUACCACCAUUGUUCAUAUCUCAGUACUGUGCUUCCUUCACCGGUACUUAUCACAGUUUGAAAUUAUAAUUUUUUUUGCUAAGUUUUUGUCUGUCUCUUCCACUCUGUCUCUUUUCUUCACCACCACAUCUCUACCACCUAGUACAGUGCCUGUCACUGGAUAAGUAAAAAGUAAGUAUUUGGUAUUGAAUGGAUGAAAUAGUAGUCAAGGAUGACUCUGAGAGUUCUGAAGUGAGCAACUAAACAUACUGAUGAGCCAGGCACAGUGGCUCACGCCUGUAAUCCCAGCACUUUGGGAGGCCGAGGCAGGUGGAUCAUGAGGUCAGGAGUUCAAGACCAGCCUGGCCAACAUUGUGAAACCCCAUCUUUACUGAAAAUACAAAAAUUAGCUGGGUGCGGUGGUGGGCACCUGUAAUCCCAGCUACUGAGGAGGCUGAGGCAGGAGAAUCACUUGAACCCAGGAAGCGGAGGUUGCAGUGAGCCGAGAUCGUGCCACUGCACUCCAGCCUGGGCAACGGAGCAAGACUCUGUCUCAAAAAAUAAAUAAAUAAACAUAUUGAUAAAAAGAAAAAAUGGGUAAGCUUGGAGGAAGAAGAGAAGAUGAUCAGUUUUGUUUGCAAAUACUGAAUUUGAAGUUUUGAAUGAUUUCAAGGUGACAUCCAGAAGGCAACUAAAAAUGUGAAUCUGAAGCUCUGGAAACAGCAUCAGAUUGGAACUACAGAUUUGAGAGCCUUGAGAAUUUAUUACAUCACUCAUGAAGAACACGGUGAGAGAACAGAGAACAUUUAGGAGGGAACUGUAAGGAACAAAAACAUUUGCUGGGUGGGCAGAAGAGAGAGCCUGGGAGGAAAUAUCAGGGGCUGUGAACAAGAACCAGGGAGAAGAAACGUUCAGGGAGGAAACAGCAGUCACAAGUGACAGAGAUUGGUGGUAAAUUACAUCACCUAUGUCAGAAAGGGUCCCUUAGACCUGCCAAUUAGGAGGCUUGGGUAUCGUAGCCUUAGCUAGAAUAGUUUCAGUGGAUUGGUGGGCUAUGGACUGAAGACAGAAGGUUAAGAAGCAAAUGUAGCAAUUGUAGAACAUGGUUUCAAGAAGUGCAGCCAUGAAAACAACAGACAGAUUUCAUUUAGAAAGGCAAGGUCAAAGGAGUUUUUUUACUUUUUUUUUUUUUUUUUUUUUAGAAGAAAGGCAGCUUGGAAUCUGUAUAAAUGAAAGAGAGAGAUAGAAUGGGUAAAAAUGAUUGAUGGAAGAAUUUUGACCUACUGGGUUUGAGGUAGGAGGGGAAAACAGAAGGGUGCUCUUCUCUGAAGGUGUAAAGAUAAAUUUAGAGCGGACAGAGCAGCAAAGAGUUGAAAAGUUUUUGUCUGUUGGCCUUCAAUUUAUCCAUGAAGGAAGGAGCAACGUUAUCUGCUACAAGGACGGAGGUGGCGGGGAAAGUCUGGACUGGUUUUUAGGAGACAAGGGGUGGGGGGUGAGGGAAAGACUAUAGAUAAGAGGACAAACAGAAGGUCUGCUUUCGCAGAUCUACUAUGGUCGAAAAUUAUUUUUUCUUUCCUCCCCUCUAUCCCUUCCUAACCUAAGCUUGUCGCAAAAAAGGCUUCAAGCUGCCAAAUCCAAAUUUUUCCACCAAUAUACCCCGAUACUAGUUUUUUCUCCAAAAACAACGGGCAACUAACACGCAGGGCAGAGAAAACAAACAGUUGCCCCAGGCUUCCUUCGUUCGAAUAGUGAAGACUGAGCUGGCCUCGGCACUGUGCAGACUCCCAACCUGUGCUACUGUGGGUUAUUCUCCUUAUAGUGCAGUCACCUCCUAAAUGCUUGCUGAAAAUAAUGGAAGACUUCGAGCCAGAUGUUUGCCUCUUAAGUAACGUCCCCCAAAAGAUGCAGCACAUAUUUAAGGCCUGCUGAAGCAAGCAACGCUGACGGACCAGGUUAUUGCGUUUUUCUCUCGCUGCGUGUCCGGACGCCACACUAUGAGCAUUAAGCGCAUACUGACCAAUUUCUGUUAAGCAGGAACGUGGUGUUCUGAUCAAAACACAGGGAGCCGCGGCCGCAACCGCGCCGAUAAGCUUCCGGGGUCCCAACCCUGUAAGGCAGAACGGCUGCCCAGCUCGGAUGACGCCACACUAACGUAGCCUCCAGACCGCCCAGUGUGGGUGUGUCCAAGCUCACGUCGCCCGGCGUGGCCCCCCCGCUCCCCAAUGACGUAACUGCCCUGCAGCUUCUAGUAGCUUUUCGCAGCGUCUCCGACCGCCGGGCGCGGUGGCGCGUGCCUGUAGUCCCAGCUACUCGGGAGGCUGAGGUGGGAGGAUCGCUUGAGCCCAGGAUUCUGGGCUGUAGUGCGCUAUGCCGAUCGGGUGUCCGCACUGAGUUCGGCAUCAAUAUGGUGACCUCCCGGGAGCGGGGGACCACCAGGUUGCCUAAGGAGGGGUGAACCGGCCCAGGUCGGAAACGGA
rnacentral:lncRNA from 1 species